UUCCAGACUCCUACGGGAGGCAGCAGUGGGGGAUAUUGCACAAUGGGGGAAACCCUGAUGCAGCGACGCCGCGUGGGCGAAGAAGUAUUUCGGUAUGUAAAGCCCUAUCAGCAGGGAAGAAGAAAUGACGGUACCUGAGUAAGAAGCACCGGCUAAAUACGUGCCAGCAGCCGCGGCAAUACGUAUGGUGCAAGCGUUAUCCGGAUUUACUGGGUGUAAAGGGAGUGUAGGCGGUUUAGUAAGAUAGUGGUGAAAUCCCAGAGCUUAACUUUGGAAUUGCCAUUAUAACUAUUAGACUAGAAUUACAGAGAGGAUAGUGGAAUACCCAGUGUAGAGGUGAAAUUCGUAGAUAUUGGGUAGAACACCAGUGGCGAAGGCGACUAUCUGGCUGUACAUUGACGCUGAGGCUCGAAAGCAUGGGGAUCAAACAGGAUUAGAUACCCUGGUA
rnacentral:rRNA from 1 species